rnacentral:rRNA from 1 species
AGAGUUUGAUUAUGGCUCAGGAUGAACGCUAGCUACAGGCUUAACACAUGCAAGUCGAGGGGCAGCAUUGGAGUAGCAAUACUUCAGAUGGCGACCGGCGCACGGGUGAGUAACACGUAUCCAACCUGCCGCUUACUCGGGGAUAGCCUUUCGAAAGAAAGAUUAAUACCCGAUGGUAUAAAGAGUUCGCAUGUUCUCUUUAUUAAAGAAUUUCGGUAAGCGAUGGGGAUGCGUUCCAUUAGAUAGUUGGCGGGGUAACGGCCCGCCAAGUCUACGAUGGAUAGGGUUCUGAGAGGAAGGUCCCCCACAUUGGAACUGAGACACGGUCCAAACUCCUACGGGAGGCAGCAGUGAGGAAUAUUGGUCAAUGGACGAGAGUCUGAACCAGCCAAGUAGCGUGAAGGAUGACUGCCCUAUGGGUUGUAAACUUCUUUUAUAAGGGAAUAAAGUGAGGGACGUGUCCCUUUUGUAUGUACCUUAUGAAUAAGGAUCGGCUAACUCCGUGCCAGCAGCAGC